rnacentral:rRNA from 1 species
CAGUAGCCGCGGUAAAACGGAGGGGGCUAGCGUUGUUCGGAAUUACUGGGCGUAAAGCGCACGUAGGCGGCUUGGUAAGUUAGAGGUGAAAGCCUGGAGCUCAACUCCAGAAUUGCCUUUAAGACUGCCGAGCUAGCAGGUGAGAGAGGUAAGUGGAAUUCCGAGUGUAGAGGUGAAAUUCGUAGAUAUUCGGAAGAACACCAGUGGCGAAGGCGGCUUACUGGCUCAUACUGGACGCUGAGGUGCGAAAGCGUGGGGAGCAAACAGGAUUAGAUACCCCGGUAGUCCCUGUCUCUUAUAU